rnacentral:misc_RNA from 1 species
GAUGAAGAACGUAGCGAAAUGCGAUACGUAGUGUGAAUUGCAGAAUUCAGUGAAUCAUCGAAUCUUUGAACGCACAUUGCGCCCUUUGGUAUUCCAACGGGCAUGCCUGUUCGAGCGUCAUUUGUACCCUCAAGCUUUGCUUGGUGUUGGGCGUCUUGUCUCCAGUCCGCUGGAGACUCGCCUUAAAGUCAUUGGCAGCCGGCCUACUGGUUUCGGAGCGCAGCACAAGUCGCACUCUUUUCCAGCCAAGGUCAGUGUCCAACAAGCCUUUUUUCAACUUUUGACCUCGGAUCAGGUAGGGAUACCCGCUGAACUUAAGCAUAUCAAUAAGCGGAGGA